rnacentral:rRNA from 1 species
ACCUCUAGCAUCAUAAGUAUUAGAGGCAUUGCCUGCCCAGUGACACAUGUUUAACGGCCGCGGUAUCCUGACCGUGCAAAGGUAGCAUAAUCAUUUGUUCCUUAAUUAGGGACUCGCAUGAAUGGCCAAACGAGGGUUUAUCUGUCUCUUGCUUUCAAUCAGUGAAAUUGACCUUCCCGUGAAGAGGCGGGAAUAAAUAAAUAAGACGAGAAGACCCUAUGGAGCUUUAAUUUAUUAGCCCAAGCACUCUCCUACUAAACUCUACCUGAGAUUAACUAUUCAAGCAAAUGGGCUACAAAUUUUGGUUGGGGUGACCUCGGAGUAUAAUAUAACCCCCGAAUGAUUUUAAUCCAGACUACAACCAGUCUAAAUUUUAAUUCACAAUUGACCCAAACUAUUGAUCAAUGGAACAAGUUACCCUAGGGAUAACAGCGCAAUCUUACUCAAGAGUUCAUAUCGACAGUAGGGUUUACGACCUCGAUGUUGGAUCAGGACAUCCAAAUGGUGCAGCCGCUAUUAAAGGUUCGUUUGUUCAACGAUUAAAGUC